rnacentral:misc_RNA from 1 species
GAUGAAGAACGCAGCGAAAUGCGAUAAGUAAUGUGAAUUGCAGAAUUCAUUGAAUCAUCGAAUCUUUGAACGCACAUUGCGCCCCUUGGUAUUCCGAGGGGCAUGCCUGUUCGAGCGUCAUUAUAACCCCUCAAGCUCAGCUUGGUGUUGGGGCCUGCUGCACUGGCAGCCCUUAAAAUCAGUGGCGGCGCCAUCUGGCUCUAAGCGUAGUAAUUCUUCUCGCUAUGGAGUCCUGGUGGAUGCUUGCCAUCAACCCCCAAUUUUUCUAUGGUUGACCUCGGAUCAGGUAGGGAUACCCGCUGAACUUAAGCAUAUCAAUAAGCGGAGGA